rnacentral:rRNA from 1 species
UGGGGAAUAUUGCACAAUGGGCGAAAGCCUGAUGCAGCAACGCCGCGUGAGUGAUGAAGGCCUUCGGGUUGUAAAGCUCUGUCUUCUGGGACGAUAAUGACGGUACCAGAGGAGGAAGCCACGGCUAACUACGUGCCAGCAGCCGCGGUAAUACGUAGGUGGCAAGCGUUGUCCGGAUUUACUGGGCGUAAAGGAUGCGUAGGCGGAUGCUUAAGUCAGAUGUGAAAAUCCCGGGCUUAACUUGGGAACUGCAUUUGAAACUGGGCAUCUAGAGUGUGGGAGAGGAAAGUGGAAUUCCUAGUGUAGCGGUGAAAUGCGUAGAGAUUAGGAAGAACACCAGUGGCGAAGGCGACUUUCUGGACCAUAACUGACGCUGAGGCAUGAAAGCGUGGGGAGCAAACAGG